CGGGGCAUGCGAAAGGCAGCACGGAAAGAUGCCCAGACUAUUCAGAGGCUAGAUGUCGCCCGUCAGCAGGCGGAGGGCACCGCUC
rnacentral:SRP_RNA from 1 species